rnacentral:lncRNA from 1 species
CUUCAUCUCCCCAUUUGCGUCAGCUCCAAGAUCGCCUCCUCCGGUACCUCCUGAAGCUUUUCAAUGUUUUCUCACAAAGCAAAGCAGAUCUAACCUCAGCCCAAGUGUUCAUAAGCUUAAAAACACGAGUACAAAUUCUCGCAAGUUUCGAGAGACAUCCAUACUCGCCUCCUCCUCGUAAACCAUUCUUCUCAAUGUUCUCUCACGAAGCAACGUCAGCCCAAGUAUCCUGAGAAGAAGAAUUAUUAUAAAUGCUCGCAGAGAAGGACAAGCGCCAAUGAAAUUGAGAAAACAUCAGCCUACACGACAUCCAUACCUCGCAUUGAUCCUAUCAUCGAACGAAAACUCUAAACGAAAUAGUCAAUUUGCUCACUGUCUCUAGUGGCGACCUCUUUGCCAAAUGACCAUGUUCAAAGGUGGGCUGGCGAUCGAGAGAGGCAGAUUUGAGCGGAGUUUCUGCUUGUGCUGUGUGUGAUCUUGGCAGGAGUGAUGAUGGUGAGUGAUAUUGUCCAGCCGAUCGACAUCCCAAACAUACUUGCAUUCGAACAGUACGAUUAAUAAAAAAUGCCAUUUAAAAGGCGUGUAUAAUACGGCGUUUAAAUAUUUUAAAAAAACCCUAAAUAUGCACUUAGGAUUAGGGUUCAUGUAAAAUCAGGGUUCAUGGGAUCCGGAGGCAGCCAUGCUGGAGCUGGGCUCCAUGUUCUGAAACAGAGGCUGACAUCCGAGACAAACCACGGCAUGAGUCCAUGGAAGUGUAAGUAUUGCUCGAAUACUUACACUGGCAUGGCUGAACAAGUUUGCCCUCACUUUGGGGGUGUGAAAGGAAGGAAUGUAAAGAUUUGUACAGGACAGGUGCCACUGGAGGUGGUGAACAAGGCUUGGGCAUCUUUUAAUCGUGUGGAGCUCACGAAGAACUCCAAAUCCCCAAGAGAGACUUGCCUUAGCUCACGAGACUGAGGUUGAGCAGUGGUGCCAGCUACAGGGCAAGUGGUGGGGCUACCAGAGGGCUGGGUGAGGUGAGCAGCAGCAGCGUUCCACUUUCCAGGAGCAGCAGUCUUAAACGAAGUGUUGCACCGGCAUUGGAUGGUGACAUUUGAAAGAUGAUGAAGUUUGCAAAGGUUCAAUGUCUGGAUGAUGCCAUGGCCGAGUUCUUCUACGUUGAAAAUAUCCCUUUCAACACCAUUCGGAAGCCAAAUUUGAGGAAGUUGCUUCAAGCUGCUAUGGACUUCAGCCCUGGAGCUCUUGCACAAAUGAUGGGAUAUGAGAAGCUGCGGAGUACACAGCUGAAGAAGCUUUAUAAUAGUGUCAAUGCUCGACUUGAUCCAAUCUGUGAGGGGUGGAGAAAAUAUGGAGUUAGCAUCGUCACUGAUGCCUGGUCUGACAACCAUAGCCGAUCCUUGAUCAACUUCAUGGCCUCCAACGUCCAGGGUUCGGUUUUCUUGAAGUCUGUAGAUUCCGAGGGCAGGACAAAGAUGGGAGAGUGGAUUUGGGUCGAGCUGAAGAAAGUGAUUCAAGAAGUUGGCAAAGAAACCGUUGUUCAAGUGAUCACUGACAAUGCAUCAAACUGUGUGCAGAUGGGAGAACUCAUGACAGCUGAGUAUCCUCACAUUCUCCACAGCCGGUGUGUGUGCCACGUCUUGGACCUUCUAUUUGAAGACAUUGGGAGCUUGUCGUGGGUAAAACCACUGGUGAAAUGCUGUAACGAGGUGGUAACUUUUAUCACCAAAAAACCUCAUGUUCUGGCGUUGUUUCAGAAGCUGAGCAAUCGGGAUCUCAUCAAGCCAGCGAGCACAAGGUUCGCUUACAUGUUUCUAGUGAUGUCUCAACUCCUGAAUCUGACGACCUUGGAGGCAUUGAAGGAGAUGGUUGUGAGCUCCGAGUGGCAGCGAUUGGACGUCACGAAGACUGCCAAAGCCCAGCGCAUUUGAACUCGGAUCUUAGAAGAGACUCCGAACUCUUUCUGGACUAGGUGCCAGCACUUGUUGGUGCUGCUUGGACCGCUCCUCAAGGUCUUGAAGCUUGCGGACCGGGAGGGGGCAACUUCCGGUCUCAUUUUCAAGGCUAUGGACUGGAUGAAUGAGAAGCUUUCAGAGGCUGUUGAGACUAGGAUUUUAGCCGAGGAAGAGGUCAAGGAGAUCAACAGGUUCAUGAUGGAGGAUCAUGGUGAGGGAGGUCGGAAAGCAGCUUGUUAGUUCCGUAUGGAGCUGCUUUUGUUCUAAACCCAGCUUUUCUUCAUCUCCCUCUUGACCAGGAGGCUCAGGAAGAUUUUGUGGAGUACCUAGAAUUGUAUUGCAAAGGAGAUCGAGGACUUCAACACAAGCUGUUGCACGAGUUUCAGAGUUUCCAUCAACAACUUGGCCGUUUGUUCUCUUCGGAGGCAGCAAAGUAGGUGUGUAUAAACUAUUUGUUUGUCAACUUUUUAGAUUGAUUCUCUUAUAUAGAUGGAGAACCGGAAACACCUAGUGAGUUGGUGGAGCAACUUUGGUGUAGGCACACCAGAACUUCAAAGGCUUGCUUUACGGAUCUUGAGUCAGCCAGUUUGUGCUUCACCAUGCGAGCGAAACUGGGAGCAUGAUCCAGACAAAGAGGAGGUCUUGACUGCUCUCCAAAAACUCAGAGAAGCUGGUUUUUGUGCACACAAAUAUGUGUGUUGUACAGAAUAUUGAGUCUGGGAGUUUGAGGCUUAUCAAGCAUGAUCUUGAUAACUUUGAGCUUGAACCUCAGUGGCAAAGGAUCCUUGCACUUCAGAAGGUUGUUGAAGAACCUUUUCAACAACCUGAUGAUGACGGCGCUAGUGGUGAUGAUGUUCUAGAUUUGGAAGAUGAAGAUUAGAUUAAACCUAUAUUAUAUUAUGUUAAAUUUUGUUUAGUAACAGUUAAUUAUUUUUUAAUUAUAUUAGAACUGAAAACCAUUAUACCCAUUCGAGAAAAAGCUAAACAGGUAUUAAAUGUUCGAUACCCGUUCGAAUCCAGUUGCAUUCAAAUGUUUGGAUGCAAGUAUCCCAAAGGACACUGUCAAAUGCGCUCACCCCCUUGUCAAUGCCGAGUUCUUGGGAGCUUCUCUGCUGAUCGAGGUGAGUUUCUCAUCAUGGUUUCUCACACGAAGAACCCGGUUUUUGCAAGGGAUUGUCCAAGGAGCAAAAAAUCGGUGGAGUGUGGCUGGGUGGCGCUCAGAUGCUCCACACGAGCACCCCUCUCCUGACACUGGAGGGGACAAACUGGACGAUCCAAAGGGACGCCACCAGUUUCGAAUCUCUCUUCCUAUCCAGCUCAAAUCUCUCGCUCAUCUUCUUGGAUGUCACUGCCUCCUCCUCCAUGAACUCGUCACUGCCAUCGACAAAAUCUUCCUACAGAAUUAGCAUCACAGCCAACUUCUACUUGUUCAAGGAAUCCACAGCCGAAAUCAUCGAUCAAGCUUGUGGAAGUCGCCGAUUCUUCUCACCCCUGGCAGGAACAUCGGCCGGUUUGUUCCCGCCCCUUGCUGUUCUCCUGAUCCAUCCACCACCCUCCAACUCCACUGGGCUUUUGUUCGUAUUCCAAAACGAUCAGGAAUCCUCCGCCAUAGUGACUCAGUGCUUCAAAACAUGCCGUGCACCAUGGCGUGUUGGCGUGGUGACACGAACACGGCCCCCAGCCGUGUUAACACAGGCCGUGUUCAUUGACUCGGUCAAUGCUCCAAAACACGGCUCCAAACACGGUUGAAACACGGUCAAAUACCAUGUGACCACGCCGUGUUCUAAAACAAUAGCUCACGUGGUUCACAUGAGCGUUUUACGCUUUGAUGUUUUCUUGUCUUGCGAUCAAUAAAAAAUUCCCGCGAUCAAUCAAAAGGUUUUUCCAGAGAUCUAUGGCGAUUUUCUUGGGCUGGGAAUGCCCUCUCUAGGAUUCUAUGACAAGUUUGUGGGAUUGAGCCAGACAGGAAGUAUUCCUCAAAUUACUGAUGCUGAUAUUGAAGCUAUGGAAGAAGAGGACGAAGACGAAGAUGAUGAUCCUGCUAAUGAGGAGCUUCUAGAUGAGAUGAUAAGUAGAAUAUUCUAGAGAAUAUUCAUGUUUUCACCCGUGUUUAUCUGUGUUCAUUUCCGUGUUCCGUGUUCGUGUUCAAAAAAUUGAAUGCCGUGUUCGUGUUUGUGUUCGUGUUCGUGUUUUGAAGCUAUGUGGUGACUGUUCCAACCAACGUCGUCAGUGCUCGCUUGCAGGUCUUUGUUUCCUCGCAUGGUGACGAUGACAAGGGAAGCUCCUCGGAGAUGUGAGAGGUGGUGGUCACUCUAGACGGUGCUGUGGUGGACGCGAUCUGGCCGAGCCCGGUGAUCUACAGCGCUGGGAUCAAUGCAUGACUUCUGUGGGAUAUACCUAGCUUCUACUCCAUGAUUGCAACUUGUUCAUGUUGGAUGUGCCUCGUCAACUUGUUUGAACGUGUUGGACAUAAAAACACCAAGUUGGCUAGGCACACGCAAGCGCCAGAGGACCAGUUCUCUUCUUCAAGUACAUAAUAGAGUUCUAGUGCUGCAGUAAUGUACACACAGCUGUGCAAUGAAGAUCUUCAUUCCCCUCGUUCUAACACUGGUUUUUGCAAUCGCUCCUGCACAAUCGAGCCUCCCAAAGCCGGGAGAAUUGGAUCUAUCAAAGUGCACCGAGGUGAUCCGGUUCUACUUGCACGACCAGUUCAAUGGGAGCAAUCCGACAACAGCAAUCGUCCUGCCUCCUCGUAACAACGAAACGUUGUUUGGUCAGGUUGCAAUUUUUGAUGACAAGUUGACUACGGAGUCCUCGAUCAACUCCAAGCCUGUGGGAAGAGCCAAGGGUUUUCUGGUGAUAGAUUCGCUGAGCAAAAGCAGCUCUCUCCAGAGCAUGACGGUGGAGCUGGAAGGGCGGAAAGGUACAAUAGUGCUCCAUGGUCAGAACCCCUUCACUGAGUCCCAAAGGGAAAUAGCCGUUGUUGGGGGCACAGGAGAGUUCAGAAACGUUCAGGGCUACGCAUUAACGAGCACAACUGGAGCUGAACCUGGUGGGUUUAUUGCAAUCUACGAAGUUCAUCUGGUGAGGCUCUGGGAAUGCAUCUGGAAAUGAUGAAACUCAUAUUUUACCAUUUCAAACUCAGAACCAUAGACCAUUAAAAAAUGAAUAUGCUUUAUUUAAUUAUUAUGCUUCAGCCAUAUCUUAUAGAAAACGUGGGUAACCUAUUAAGAGUCCUAGGGCGAAGAAACCACCAUCGAAUGCGAACCACCGAUAAUUCUUGCUAUAGCAGUUCAGUGACUCUUCUAGUUCUGAAAUACCCACACUCUCAGUCACUCAAAAUUUCUGAGACUGAUCCGUGCAAUUCGGUUUCUUUGUUUCCUUCAACUUGGGUUCUCCUGCCUUGUUUCUCUUCGUUUUCCUCCAUUUCUCGUCACAUUGCUUUGUGUGACCGAUCAGGCUGUUCCCGAUGGAGUGGACGUGCUGAGCCUUUCAGUCGGGCCCAACGGGCUCCCACGCCGGAACUUGACAUUCAUGAGCACCUUCGACCUGGCGCUGCUGUCGGCCGUCAAGGCGGGCGUGUUUGUGACCCAGGCUGUUGGAAACGGGGGACCGUAUCCCCGGACCAGCCUGUCCUUCAGCCCCUGGAUAUUCUCCGUAGCAGCGGCCACCCACGACAGGGCCUACCCAAACGCCAUCACCCUCGGGAGCAUCACGGGAACCGGCCUCGCAUGUAAGAUACACGCAAGUGUACUGCCUUCUGUGGCUUUCCUCGUCGUUAUCUUGCCCCUCCGCCACCUUUUUUGUGCCCGCCAGCUGCUCCGUUGACGUGCCAUGCUUGCCAGCUGAUGUAAUGUGGGGCUUUCUGGGUAUUGUUUGCAGCCGGGACAAAUGGCAGCUUCAGCCUUAUCACCGCAGCAGAUGCCACCAAUGGGAAUGUGUCCAGGAUCCUUGUCGAUGAGUGCCAGGACGCCGGGAACUACAACAGGUCGCUCGUCAGCGGCAGGAUUCUCGUGUGCAGCUACAGCCUGCGGUAUCUGUUCGGGGUGUCGACGCUGGCCGACACGGUUGCAGCCGUGCAAGAGCUCAGAGCGUCCGGGCUUGUGUUUCUGGCCACGCCCGACGUCGACGGCCACAGCUUCCCGCCGUCCCCGAUCGGCUUCCCGGUGAUCAUCAUCCCCAGCUCCAAAGACUCCGCGGUAAAGUUCAUCCGCCACCUUUCUUGGAUCUUAACUAUCUCACUGCAUUUGCCACCAGGUGUUGCUCCACUACUACAACACAUCCACGGCCAUGGCCACCAUAGCAGGAGGCCGCACCAAGGUGGCGACGUACUCGUCCCGGACGUGAAUAGCAACAACCUGGACGUGGCUGAUGUGCUCAAGCCCAACAUCCUGCCUCCCGGGAACCUCAUCUGGGCGGCGUGGUCCUCGAUCGGGAGCGACGAGCGGGAGUUCGAAGGCCAGGAGUUUGCGCUUAUCUCCGGGGCGAGCAUGGCCACGCCCCACAUCGCCGGCAUCGCGGCGCUCGUCAAGCAGCGCUUCCCGUCGCUCAGCCCCGCCGGGAUUGCGUCGGCCAUGUCCACCACCGCUCUCACUCUCGACUCGAAUGGCCAGCCACUACUCGCACAGCACCCCUCGAGCAAUGUCGACUCCAUUCUCGGCCCGGCCACCCCAUUCGACUUUGGAGCCGGUUUUGUGAAUCCCGCAGCGGCGAUUGAUCCUGGCUUGAUCUUCGAUGCCGGUGAGGUUUUCUAUUCGAUCGCGUUCGUCUCGACUAAGGUGUUUUUGCUGCCAGGAUUCCGAGACUACAUCCAGUUCUUGUGCUCCAUUCCGGCUCUCAGCAACUCGACAGUGUCAGCCGCGACUGGAUCGUCUUUCUUGUCAACCCUCUUCGUCCUCCUCAAAGACCACCGCUGCCGCCAGCACUUCUUCCAGCUUUGCCUCGGAUCUUAACACUCCAUACGUGAGUAUCGCGAGCCUCAAUGGCGCCAGAUCUGUGGUGAGAAUCGCGACAAGCGUGAGCGAGAGGGACGAGGCUUACAAUGCUACAUUGGUCGUCCCCGCCGGGGUCUCAGUGACGGUACAACCAUCGAGUUUCUCCGUGCGCGGUGGACAAUUGGUCAAGUUGACGCUCACUCUCAAGGCUCUAGUCACCUCUUCGGCUCCCAUUUUUGGGGAGCUCCUCCUGGAUGGCGAUCGGGGACACAGGCUUCAUCUCCCCAUUUGCGUCAGCUCCAAGAUCGCCUCCUCCGGUACCUCCUGAACAAAGCAAAGCAGAUCUAACCUCAGCCCAAGUGUUCAUAAGCUUAAAAACACGAGCAUAAAUUCUCGCAAGUUUCGAGAGACAUCCAUACUCGCCUCCUCCUCGUAAACCAUUCUUCUCAAUGUUUUCUCACGAAGCAACGUCAGAAGAAUUAUUAUAAAUGCUCGCAGAGAAGGACAAGCGCCAAUGAAAAUGAGAAAACAUCACCCUACACGACAUCCAUACCUCGCAUUGAUCCUAUCAUCGAACGAAAAACUCUAAACGAAAUAGUCAAUUUGCUCACUGUCUCUAGUGGCGACCUCUUUGCCAAAUGACCA